GGAAGUGAAGGCAAUCUGACUGCAUUAUCUGUUACCCCAUUGAUCGUCAGCGUGGAUCGGGCUGAUCUGGCUGGCUAGCUAGGUGUCCCCUUCAUCCUUCACUGCUCCAUGUGCAUCUCUCCCAAAGCUGCACACUCAGUCCAAGAGGACAGCCAUCCCCAGUAGAAGAGGACUGGUCUUCAGUCAAGCCUACAUGAGUAGUUAUGCUCACCUUCUAAAACUUCCAAACAAGCUCUCAAGAUGAUGGAGGAAGACAUGACAGGCAUUAACAAUAAAACAUAUUGAAUAGUUGGGCAAAAAAUU
rnacentral:snRNA from 1 species